rnacentral:rRNA from 1 species
AUUGAACGCUGGCGGCAGGCCUAACACAUGCAAGUCGAACGAGUGGCGGACGGGUGAGUAAUGUCUGGGAAACUGCCUGAUGGAGGGGGAUAACUACUGGAAACGGGCGCUAAUACCGCAUACUAUCAGUUGAGCCUAUGUGGGAUUCGCUAGUGGGUGGGGUAAAGGCAUACCAAGGCGACGAUCCGUAACUGGUCUGAGAGGAUGAUCAGUCCCACUGGAACUGAGUCACGGUCCAGACUCCUACGGGAGGCAGCAGUGGGGAAUAUUGGACAAUGGGCGCAAGCCUGAUCCAGCCAUGCCGCGUGUGUGAAGAAGGCCUUCGGGUUGUAAAGUACUUUCAGCGGGGAGGCGUUACCCGCAGAAGAAGCACCGGCUAACUCCGUGCCAGCAGCCGCGGUAAUAC